UUCUUAUACGCAAUCAUUGUGAGUACACUCGACCCAUUUACAUUUUAAACCACUUUUGGGUUGUAACAUGUUACCAUACGAAAAUUACACUUACACACACUUAAACAUACUUUGUGAACUCAAUCCGAUAUACAUGCUACUUGUUAUGCUAGAUAAUUCAUGCUUUAUGCCAUUACUAUAUUAUACCCUCGCUUAACAAUUAUAGCACUAUAGGAGUAGCACACCACCCGACGGGGGAUUGUUAGGUCUUUAUACUAUACGGUCUCGUCACUUUUGUGGCGAGGGAUGCUAAAUACUAGUGGACACUUUGGGUUUAGACGUAAUGAUAUGUAUGCUAAUUACCUUGCUUACAAAUUGUCAUGUGGAUUCGAGUAAAAUGCUUUUAUACUUAUGAUAUACUAUUUAAACCUUGUGUUGAUGAGGAUGAUGCUAAGAAAAGAAGUAGCGUUGAUGCCUAGAUACACAUAUAGACGUUAGGUUUAAAUGUUGUAUCAAUUUUGAUUAUGAUGUUAUGUAUUUCUUUUGAACUUGUUGUUAUUUGAAUUUCCUUGUAUUGUUGACAAUUUAGUUUAUGAAAUGAAAUCGGU
rnacentral:lncRNA from 1 species